AGGAUGAACGCUGGCGGCGUGCUUAACACAUGCAAGUCGAACGAUGAAGGCUGGAGCUUGCUCUGGCUGGAUUAGUGGCGAACGGGUGAGUAACACGUGGGUAACCUGCCCCAGACUCUGGGAUAAGCGCUGGAAACGGCGUCUAAUACCGGAUACGAGCUUCCACCGCAUGGUGAGGAGCUGGAAAGAAUUUCGGUCUGGGAUGGACUCGCGGCCUAUCAGCUUGUUGGUGAGGUAAUGGCUCGACCAAGGCGACGACGGGUAGCCGGCUGAGAGGGUGACCCGGCACGACUGGGACUGAGACACGGCCCAGACUCCUACGGGAGGCAACGAGUGGGGAAUAGUUAGCACGAAAUGGGCCGCAAAGGCCUGAACUGCAGCAACGCGCCGUGACGGACGAAGCCGUUCGGUUAGUAACUACGUUUUAAGUAGGAAGAAGACG
rnacentral:rRNA from 1 species